ensembl:snoRNA
CACAUUUGUUCGUGCUUCUGUUUAACUUAUGGACAAAGACUUAUAGAGUGGUGCCAAAAAAAUUCUUCUUCACAAGCCCAAACUCAAUGUUUAGUGUGAAUUUUGAUAUGUGUUAGAAGGAAUAUU